rnacentral:snRNA from 1 species
GUUCAUUCCUGAACAUAUACUAAAAUUGGAACAAUACAGAGAAGAUUAACAUGGCCUCUGGGCAAGGAUGACACGCAAAUUCGUAGAGCGGUGAUGUUCAGCU